CCUGGUGUAAUGGUUGGGAUUUGAGCAAUGCAGUAUAUUAUAUUUGUAUUGCACUUGUCCCGGCCUUCAUACUUUGC
rnacentral:pre_miRNA from 1 species